UACGAAGGGGGCUAGCGUUGCUCGGAAUUACUGGGCGUAAAGGGCGCGUAGGCGGACAGUUUAGUCAGAGGUGAAAGCCCAGGGCUCAACCCUGGAAUUGCCUUUGAUACUGACUGUCUUGAGUACGGGAGAGGUGUGUGGAACUCCGAGUGUAGAGGUGAAAUUCGUAGAUAUUCGGAAGAACACCAGUGGCGAAGGCGACACACUGGCCCGUUACUGACGCUGAGGCGCGAAAGCGUGGGGAGCAAACAGG
rnacentral:rRNA from 2 species